rnacentral:snRNA from 1 species
GGACGUGAGGGCAAUCUAGCUGCAACAUCAAUCAUCCCAUUGAUCACCAGGGUUGGUUUGGCUGAUCUGGCUGGCUAGGCAGGUAUUCCCCUCCUCCCUAACCUCUCCAUGUGCAUCCUCCUGAAGCUGCUUGCUCAAGAAGAGGAUGAACACCCCCCAUAGGGGAGGACCAUUUCGUUGGUCAACAGUAUACAAGUA